UACGUAGGCAGCGAGCGUUGUUCGGAGUUACUGGGCGUAAAGAGUGCGUAGGCGGUUUUCUAAGUUUGGUGUGAAAUCUCCCGGCUUAACUGGGAGGGUGCGCCGAAGACUGGAAGGCUUGAGUAUGGGAGAGGUAAGCGGAAUUCCUGGUGUAGCGGUGAAAUGCGUAGAUAUCAGGAGGAACACCUGUGGUGUAGACGGCUCUCUGGACCGCAACUGACGCUGAGACACGAAAGCGUGGGUAGCAAACAGG
rnacentral:rRNA from 1 species